AUCUGUAAAUAUGAGAAAAGGACAGGAAUAUUAAGAAUGUACCAAAAGCCCUGGUAGGGCAUAGGAGGGGGAAAGGAGGGUGACUCCUUGAGAAGAAGAAAUACAGACCCCUCAGACCAGCAUCUUCUACCCAGGAGCCCCACACCUAAGGCAGGAUCCCCUGAGACCCGCUGCCUUCACUUCACACUGAGAACCUAGGGCUGGGGUCCAGCUGGGCAGAGAGGGAUCUGCCAAAGUGGCUACAGACAAGCAGCACACUGGGAACCCACCUGCACCAGCCCACACCAUGGCCAUCAAGGGCUGAGCUGAAGUAGCACCUGACUCAGGUACUCUUGGCUGACACUGAUACUAUAGAGAUGACAGUGGGAGGCCAGAGGCCAGCCACAGCUGGUUCAUCACUUUUAACAAGCCUACCUCCCACCUGAACUGCCCCACACACUCACCAUUUUCCGUCUUCUGGGGAGACCUGACAUCCUUUCUGUGGACCUCAUAGCACCUGCAGGUCACAGGGAGACAAAUGUGAGCCAGAACCACUUGGGCCUCACACAGCAGAAGACACAGUCCUGGAGAUGGAUUCUGAGCUCCACAGGGUGA
rnacentral:lncRNA from 1 species